rnacentral:pre_miRNA from 1 species
CAUCUGAUCCCAGCCUUCUAUUGCUUUAUUUUCAGUCAAUUCAUCUACUUGUGUAAGAAGAGUAGAGUUUGAGUAUCUAGCAGGGUUGAGUAUACAUUUGCCAAAUAAUUUUGCUGUUAUUGAACUUAUCUAUAUUUAUACUAUGCCAAUGAAUUCGAAUUUUUGACCUUUUCUCUCCAGCAUGACUCUCUUGACUCGAAAUGGGAGCAGAGCAGGUUUGAAAAAAGAU